RRNAGGACCCUACUGCUAUUGGGGUGGGACUAAGACAUGCGAGUCGUGCGCCUCUAAGCUAUGGUAGAGACGCGGCGUACGGCUCAGUAACACGUGGCUAACCUACCCUUAGGACGGGGACACCCUCGGGAAACUGGGGUUAAUACCUGAUGGGUGAGGAGACUUGGAAUGGUUCUUCACCGAAAAGACGUUGAGACCAUGCUUCUCAACGUUGCCUAAGGAUGGGACCGCGUCCGAUCAGGUUGUUGGUGGGGUAACGGCUCACCAAGCCUAUAACCGGUACGGGCCGUGGGAGCGGGAGCCCGGAGAUGGGCACUGAGACAAGGGCCCAGGCCCUACGGGGCGCAGCAGUCGCGAAAACUCCGCAAUGCGCGAAAGCGUGACGGGGCUACCCCGAGUGCCGUCCGCUGAGGAUGGCUUUUCCCCGGUGUAAUGAGCCGGGGGAAUAAGGAGAGGGCAAGCCUGGUGUCAGCCGCCGCGGUAAUAGCAGCUCUCCGAGUGGUAGGGACGAUUAUUGGGCUUAAAGCGUCCGUWGCCGGCCCGGCAAGUCUCCCGUUAAAUCCAGCGACCCAAUCGUUGGGCUGCGGAAGAUACUGUUGGGCUAGGGGGCGGGAGAGGCCGACGGUAUUCCCGGGGUAGGGGUGAAAUCCUAUAAUCCCGGGAGGACCACCAGUGGCGAAGGCUGUCGGCUAGAACGCGCUCGACGG
rnacentral:rRNA from 1 species